UGGGAAAGCUCCUCUCUGCUCCUGGGCACUGGGCCUGUGCCAAGCAGCUGAGUCCAAACAAGAGGCCCUGUGGUGUGGUGAGUUCCACAGACCGGCUGGGGCUGGUUCCUGCACGUGUAUUACCCUGGGCAGGCACAGGGCUGUCGGAGGAAACCCCCAAUAGCACCUACACAUCUAUGAUGGCAGAGGAGGACCACAUUUUUGCCUAGUCCGGAGACCUCAAUGCUCCACGCCAUGGUGGCUGCGUGCACACCCCUGCACAUGCUCCCACCCGAGGAAGAGCGAAGCACACUGCAGAGGUUCACACUCACCCUCCAACGCAGCCUGCUUCCGGGCGUGAUGUGGCAGCUCAUGGCUUCCCUGGGAUUCACGAGGCCCUGGGAUGCAGACGGAGCAGGUGGGUGGAGCCUGGAGGAGGAUGGAGGAGAAGAAGUGGAGCCCCUGUGGGGCAGGGUCGCCAUUCGUCUGCCUCUCUGGACCAGGGUUGCUCCUCCAGGCUAAGGCUGGCUGCCCAGGAGGCUGUGCUGGGCCUGGAGUCAACAAGGAUGCACGUGCUGGGGGCCAUCAGCUGCUGCUCCCAUAUAAGCAUCUGCUCCCACCAAACCCACAGGGCUUGGCUGCCAGGCCUUGCUGUGUGCCCACUCCGUGGCUCUGUUCUUUGUCUCUGUUGUUCCAUCUGCCUGCUCCACCGGCUGCCUGGCUCAGCUCCUCUCGGCCUCUUUAUUUCUCUCGGAAUCUUCUUCCUGCUCCUCAUGUCGCCUCAUCCUUCUCCCUGUCUCUGUCCCUGGCACAUUCAUGCCCUGGUGUCCGAGACCUUCUUUCCUCCUCUGGCCUUAUCAGUCAUGCCUCUGUGUGCUUCUCUGCGUUCGCCCCAUGUUCAUUCUCCUGCUCUCUCUCUUGCUUCCUCUCAUGCAUAUUCAGUAGCUCCUUGAAAACCCACCUAGCUUAUUCUGCGUGUUAAAUGCCUAGAUCUGCUUCAGGCGUGAGACUUUUUAGCCUCUAGCUCUAGGACGCCACCUCAGAUCACAGUCUGUACUAAUUGUGUAGAGGAUGUUGGGGAGCCCACCUACCUUCCACCCAAACGUGGCUCACUCUGCAUGGUCUCCUCUUCUGACUUGAGACAAGGCAGCCCCGAGGUGCGUCAGGCCCACAGCACAAGCCAUGGCGCAUAGGAGGACGAGGACGAGGACAAGGACGAGGACGUCUCCCCUUAAAGAUCCCAGGGCUUCAGUCCUGGAAAUAAACAUAGGAUCCAAAGUGUC